CUAUUAUUUAACCCUCAUUAAUUAUAUAAGACAAAAGAUGAAAACCACACAGUGGUUACUGAGACAGAUCUCGAACCACAUGGUUGCAGGCUUCAUCCUCACUCUGCCUGACUGUUAGAAACCUUUAAUCCUGUCCAUAUUCCUGUCUAUCCCACUGUAAUUUGGUACAAGGCCAGAAAAGCAUUUAGGAGUUAAAAUAGAACAGAAACCAAGAUCCACCAGAGUUUUUCUUCAUGUGCACAUAAAAGACAAGUCUGUCUUCAUUGACCAGGUUCUCCAAGAAAUCAACACAAUAUUUGAUUAUAUUGAUAGAAUUUCCUUGAUUUGGAUAAUAAAUGAAAUUACAAAAAAAAGUGAAUUUGACUUCUUCAUUGGUGACAUGUGAGAAAUAACAAGUAAACUGAUGUUGCAAUUGGAAUCGAUCAAGACAUUCCCUGGGAGCAACCAAAUGUCUAUAAUUCUUGAGACUUUAAAUUAUUGGCUACAUACAAUUACAGCUGGAAGAAAAUGAAGUAAAAUUGUACAAUGACUCACUUUUUUCCCCUUUUAACUCGAAGUAUGAAAGUCAAAUCAAAAAUAUUGCCAAAGGGUUAAAAUAAUAACUCAUGAUAAUAACUAUAUGUAUGUAAAUUUAUAAUAUUAAUAUCAAUGUGAAUUGAAUUGCAUCAAUAAACAAGUUGUAAACAAAAAGAAUAAAAUCAACAAAAUAUGUCACAAACAACACAGAUUUAGAUAAAGUUCACAUUUACCCAAAAUUUCAUUAAAAUACUUAAACUAUAGAGACAAUAAACAGGUUAAUAAAGGACAAUAUUGGUGUCAGCCAUUAUCAC